CGCGGGGUGGAGCAGCCUGGUAGCUCGUCGGGGUCAUAACCCGAAGGUCGUCGGUUCAAAUCCGGCCCCCGCAACCA
rnacentral:tRNA from 1 species